rnacentral:lncRNA from 13 species
AGGGAUUAGCAGGUUGUCUUGGCGCUCAAUUGUAGAUAAGUGCCGCGGUUUGUAUUAUCUUUUCACGCUGCACCGCGAAGGAUGACAAAGAGACAACAUGGGUGUCAUGGCCUUCAGCAUAUCAUUAAGGACAAAAGGCCGGAGGCUCCGAUCCAGCCCCACCGUCCCACCAAACCGGCGGGGGAUGAGACAAUUCCUGCUGCCAGCGGCUGGAUCUGCACCUUGGGAAUGUGUCCCGGUGCUGCAAAGGGGACCCCGCGCCUCUUGGGGAUUUUGGGGUGCUGCAGCGUGCAGGGGACCGGAGCUGCCCCAUCCCAAAAUCCCCAUUUCCCGCUGCCCAGCACCGUGCCCCAUCUCGUGCCCACCCGCGGGUGUCUGUGGGUGCCGUGGGGGGGUUGCAGCCCUCGCCAGGAGCCCAAUUAUGGGAUUUCCAAAGGGAAGGAGCUGCCUCCCCGCUGCCAACACAGCCCUCCACUCUUUGGGGAUGAACGGGGGGAUUGUGCUUGUUUGGGAUCGAGUGAUCAAUAUUAAUUAUGCAAAGCAGCCUCUCCAGCCCACCCUUGUCUCCACAACAUUCCAGGACGGGGGAGAGACGGAGGCAGAGUCAAUUUAUUCAUGGAGCAGGUCACUCCCUGUACGAACAUCCCUUUCAAAAGGGAGUUGCAACUGGAGGAGAUCAAGCAGGGCUGAGUUUGCCUCCCUCAGAUAUGAUAAAAUAUUCUAAUAAAUACUCUGGAAGCCCGUGACAAGGAGAACGUUUCAGGCUGGCGAGAUCCUCGUGGUGGGGCCUUUUGUGGGGGUCUUCUGUUUGUGUUGAGGGAUUUGGGGGGUUCUGCAGCAUCCUCAGGGCCCGUCUACCCUUCGGUCCCGCUGGAUGCCCUCAGGAUUUCGAAUUUUUAAUAGAAAAACAUAAAAAUCUGCUGUUUCCUCACCUUGGAUGUUCAGGAGGGAUUUUCUCCUCCCUUUGCUGUGGGGAACACCACACCCCGUGGGGCUCCCCGACAGCGUGGGUGGCCCCAGACACGGGGACAACGGCACCCCAGCCCUAUCCCCACUCCCACCCUGUUCCUGGCCCCAUUCCAGCCUCAUUCCUAUCCUUUUCCCAGACAAAUCACAGCCCUAUCUUCACUCCCACCCCAUUCCUGGACCUAUUCCAUCCUCAUUCCCAUCUCAUCCCCACUCCCAUCCCAACCCUGGCCCCAUCCAAACACCAUCCACAGUCCCAGCCCAAUCCUAUCCCUGGCCCCGUCCCAUCUCCUUCUCUAAUUCCAUGUCCACUCUGAUUCUGUUCCUGCCAGGCCCAGAUCACCCCAUUCCCAAUCCAAGUCUCACCCCGGCCCUAUUCCCCUCCCAUCCCAUCCCCAUUCCCAUCUCAUCCCUGACCCUAUCCCAACCCAACCCCCACCCUCAUCCCAUCCUCAGUCCCAGCCCUGCCCUAUCUCAUCCCAUCUCCAAUCCCAUCUCCAUUCCCGCCCCUGUCUCUUAUACACAUCUAGAUGUGUAUAAGAGACAGGGAUCGAGUGAUCAAUAUUAAUUAUGCAAAGCAGCCUCUCCAGCCCACCCUUGUCUCCACAACAUUCCAGGACGGGGGAGAGACGGAGGCAGAGUCAAUUUAUUCAUGGAGCAGGUCACUCCCUGUACGAACAUCCCUUUCAAAAGGGAGUUGCAACUGGAGGAGAUCAAGCAGGGCUGAGUUUGCCUCCCUCAGAUAUGAUAAAAUAUUCUAAUAAAUACUCUGGAAGCCCGUGACAAGGAGAACGUUUCAGGCUGGCGAGAUCCUCGUGGUGGGGCCUUUUGUGGGGGUCUUCUGUUUGUGUUGAGGGAUUUGGGGGGUUCUGCAGCAUCCUCAGGGCCCGUCUACCCUUCGGUCCCGCUGGAUGCCCUCAGGAUUUCGAAUUUUUAAUAGAAAAACAUAAAAAUCUGCUGUUUCCUCACCUUGGAUGUUCAGGAGGGAUUUUCUCCUCCCUUUGCUGUGGGGAACACCACACCCCGUGGGGCUCCCCGACAGCGUGGGUGGCCCCAGACACGGGGACAACGGCACCCCAGCCCUAUCCCCACUCCCACCCUGUUCCUGGCCCCAUUCCAGCCUCAUUCCUAUCCUUUUCCCAGACAAAUCACAGCCCUAUCUCCACUCCCACCCCAUUCCCUGUCUCUUAUACACAUCUAGAUGUGUAUAAGAGACAGAUCCAUCCCCGCAGGGGUCAUGCAGAGUGACCAUCCCAUAGGAUCUGGAUGAGGAGUUUCCCUCUGGACGAAGCUUUCGCACCCAAAGGGAUCAGAGCCCCCGACCCCUCCUCGGACCAGGCUGUUCCCAGCGCAGGAUCCGGGCUCUGCCCCAUCCCCGCCCCGUCCCCCGACCCCUCCGGGCUCGGCACUGUAUAACCAUUUCCCAUUUCCAGUCUUAAUCUUAUAAGAAUGAAUUGAGAAUGACCAGUGUAAAUACACAGGUGCCACUGGGAGCAGAAACCACUCUUUAAUCUCGGAUAUGAAAACAAUUCCCUGCUCCGCGCGCUGGCAAUCAGCGAGUGCCAUCAGCGCCGCACUCUCCCCGGGAACACGAGAGCUUAUAAAUAUGAAUUAGUGCAGAGAAAAUCUACUCUCUUACCUAAAGCUAAAUGUUAUCUGGGUCCCUUUCCAGCAGUGGCUGACAUUUCCAGAGUGCUUUUAGUCACAUCUGCGGGAAGACAACUCAUUUCUUGUCUAAAAAAAAAAAAGA